GGGGAAUAUUGCACAAUGGAGGAAACUCUGAUGCAGCGAUGCCGCGUGAGGGAAGAAGGUUUUAGGAUUGUAAACCUCUGUCUUCAGGGACGAAAAAAGGACGGUACCUGAGGAGGAAGCUCCGGCUAACUACGUGCCAGCAGCCGCGGUAAUACGUAGGGAGCGAGCGUUGUCCGGAAUUACUGGGUGUAAAGGGAGCGUAGGCGGGAUCGCAAGUCAGAUGUGAAAACUAUGGGCUUAACCCAUAAACUGCAUUUGAAACUGUUUUUCUUGAGUAGUGCAGAGGUAGGCGGAAUUCCCGGUGUAGCGGUGGAAUGCGUAGAUAUCGGGAGGAACACCAGUGGCGAAGGCGGCCUACUGGGCACCAACUGACGCUGAGGCUCGAAAGUGUGGGUAGCAAACAGGAUUAGAUACCCUGGUAGUCCACACCGUAAACGAUGAUUACUAGGUGUUGGAGGAUUGACCCCUUCAGUGCCGCAGUUAACACAAUAAGUAAUCCACCUGGGGAGUACGACCGCAAGGUUGAAACUCAAAGGAAUUGACGGGGGCCCGCACAAGCAGUGGAGUAUGUGGUUUAAUUCGACGCAACGCGAAGAACCUUACCAAGUCUUGACAUCCCUUGACAGGCAUAGAAAUAUGUUUUCUCUUCGGAGCAAGGAGACAGGUGGUGCAUGGUUGUCGUCAGCUCGUGUCGUGAGAUGUUGGGUUAAGUCCCGCAACGAGCGCAACCCUUAUGGUCAGUUACUACGCAAGAGGACUCUGGCCAGACUGCCGUUGACAAAACGGAGGAAGGUGGGGAUGACGUCAAAUCAUCAUGCCCUUUAUGACUUGGGCUACACACGUACUACAAUGGCGUUAAACAAAGAGAAGCAAGACCGCGAGGUGGAGCAAAACUCAGAAACAACGUCCCAGUUCGGACUGCAGGCUGCAACUCGCCUGCACGAAGUCGGAAUUGCUAGUAAUCGUGGAUCAGCAUGCCACGGUGAAUACGUUCCCG
rnacentral:rRNA from 1 species